GGGGAGGCCUAGGGAAAGGAGGCGGGGUCUUACCGAGGAGGGCGGAGGCUGAGGCGCGUCGCGGUGGCUGCAGCUCCCCUAUAAAGCCCGGAGCCCGGUCUCUCCUCAAGCCCGGCGACAGCAGCAGCGGGACCAGGAGCGGACUGGACAUGGGGACGGGGCUGGCGGCGCGGUUCGGGCUGGGGCUCCUGCUCCUGGCGCUUCUCUUUCCCCCCCAGACUUACUGUGACCUAAAUGGAACCAACCCAACACCCUCCAGCAAUAAUUCUACAGCAAGUUCCACUUCUAUACUAGCUGUCACAAAUUCACUGAACAAUACCACCAUGAGGGGACAUGGAAAUUCCCUGCAUUCAACCACAACUCUCCUCUUCCUUCUCUCAAUUUCUCUUCUACAUUUUUGCUGUUAAGAGACUGGCUGGGAAACAGCUGCCACUCCCCAUCCAGAUCCCUGAAUCAUUUGAGCUGGCUACAUCUGCAAACCCAGCAUGAAAAUGAACCAGACAAAACUUCUGCAUCAAAUCAACUUGAUUCCAUUCCAUAAUUUAAUUGGUACCAGUCUGAUCUAGAGAAUCUCGCAGUCUCUGAUGUUCCAAAGCUGAGUGACGUGAAAAGGAUUUGACCAACUGCAACCAGAAAGUGAAUGAAGGGGCUCCAGCCCAAAGCCAGCAGGAAUUUGAAAAACAAGAUGGAAGCAUAAAGAAAUGAUGUUCAGAAUAUCUGAUUUCAAGAUGAGAACAUAUAAAAUGCAACAGUAAACACAGAUGGUAAAGACUCUACCAAGGGGGGGUAAAAAAAAAGAGUUGAUGGUUAUCUAACUGUGCAAAAUAAGGACUUGAAGAGAUUUAUUUUUCACUUAAAUUCAUUAACGUCAACAAGCUCAUAACCCCCCCAGAAAAUACAAAAAGCUUUUGAGUCUCUUUAUAUCUACAGUAAUUGGAAUGAAUCCAACAGAAACAAAAAAGUAAUAACAUGAAAAUGGGUUCCUUCUAGUUUCCUCUUUGCAUGGGAUUGCCCUGAGGAUAAACAGGAUAAAACUUUUAUAUAUGAAAUCCUCUCUGUGAAUUUUCAACCAUGCUUAAUUGAAUGACUAUAUAGUCAGGGCCAGUUAAAAAUGUUUAGGAAUCAUUGUUUUUUCAGAAGAGCUGAGUUGUUUACUGUGGGGCUUUGGAUUUGACACUUUAUUUAAAUGCUUGUAUAUUAAACCAUAUGUGCCAGAGGAAGGAGGUAUUGGAAACUCAGAAAAGGCCCAGGAGCGUUUUGUAAAUGUGGUUUAUACAAAAUAAAGUAAGUCAAGGGAGAAACA
rnacentral:lncRNA from 1 species